GCUAGCAUGGUGGAGUGGUUUGAGUGUUGGACUAUGACUCUGCAGACCAGGGUUCGAAUCCCAGCUCAACCA